rnacentral:rRNA from 1 species
UACGUAGGGGGCAAGCGUUGUCCGGAUUUAUUGGGCGUAAAGCGCGUGUAGGCGGCCACACAGGUCCGCUGUGAAAACUCGAAGGCUCAACCUCCGAGCUGUCGGUGGAAACCGUGUGGCUAGAGUCCGGAAGAGGAGGACUGGAAUUCCCGGUGUAGCGGUGGAAAUGCGCAGAUAUCGGGAGGAACACCAAUAGCGAAGGCAGCUCGCUGGGACGGUACUGACACUAAGGCGAGAAAGCGAUGGGGAGGCGAAACAGGG